rnacentral:rRNA from 1 species
CCUACGGGAGGCAGCAGUGGGGAAUUUUGCGCAAUGACCGAAAGGUUGACGCAGCAACGCCGCGUGUAUGAUGAAGGCUUUCGGGUCGUAAAGUACUUUCAGUGGGGAAGAACUGCAUAAUCAGUAACUGGGUUAUGAUUGACGGUACCCACAGAAGCAGCCCCGGCUAACUCCGUGCCAGCAGCCGCGGUAAUACGGAGGGGGCAAGCGUUGUUCGGAGUCACUGGGCGUAAAGAGCUCGUAGGCGGCAGUGUAAGUCGGGAGUUAAAGGCAACAGCUCAACUGUUGUAAGGCUUCUGAAACUACAUUGCUAGAGUGCCAGAGAGGUAUGCGGAAUUCCCUGUGUAGCGGUGAAAUGCGUAGAUAUAGGGAGGAACACCGGUUGCGAAAGCGGCAUACUGGCUGGUAACUGACGCUGAGGAGCGAAAGCGUGGGUAGCAAACA